UACGGGGGGGGCAAGCGUUGUUCGGAAUUACUGGGCGUAAAGGGCUCGUAGGCGGCCAACUAAGUCAGACGUGAAAUCCCCAGGCUUAACCUGGGAACUGCGUCUGAUACUGGAUGGCUUGAAUUCGGGAGAGGGAUGCAGAAUUCCAGGUGUAGCGGUGAAAUGCGUAGAUAUCUGGAGGAAUACCGGUGGCGAAGGCGCUCAUCUGGCCCAAUACUGACGCUGAUGCGCGAAAGCUAGGGGAGCAAACGGG
rnacentral:rRNA from 1 species